CUCUAAUUUCCAGGCUCCCCCCCACCCCAACCCCCCACCUCCCCGUCCCUCCGGGCUGGCAUUUUAAAAUCAAUUAGUAUUUUCAAUUCUUGAGGUGAAUUAUUCAAACAAAUGUUUGGGAGACCCUGAGGGAGAAUUUGGCCGUGACAAAAGGUUUGAUUAGCUUUAUUUCCCCCCAAAAGCAACAAAGGCGUAGGGCUGCGAGAACAAUCCGCUACAUCAGGGCAUGUUCAAUUAAAUGAAAGUCAUUAGCUUCGCCGUGAAAGCACUACCUUUAAAAUCAGAUGGGGCGGGCGGGAAGGGGGGAGUGGGUGUACUCUGAUAAUUGUGGCUGGAGGAUUUAACACUCCCCCUCCCCCUAUACACACAAAGCCCUCCAAAAAGAAGAAGAAGAGGGGGGGGACCCAAACCCAACACUUCACCCUUUGGAAAUUUGUGCUCAGUCUAAACAAUAGGAAGCCCAUAAUGCAGAUUAUAACACUCACUGACUCGAAUCCAUUAUCUGCCCUCCACACUGUCUAUAUAUUGAUUUCCAUAUACUUUCUAUUGCUCUCAAUGACUGAGCAAAGCUCCAGUUAAGAGCCCGCGACACACAGGAGCGCUGCUUGAACUACAUCUCACCAAUACAAGCCGGAGCCGGUUGUAAACACGAAAUGCUCCCACUUUCCCGGUGUAGCUGUGAACAAGCACACUACCACCCCUCCAUCCCCGCAAGGAAGCUGGCGGCCGGGCAGAGCCGGUGUGCUGCCCCGGGGCCCCCUCCCGCCGCGGGGAGCGUGCGGAUCCCCUCGGAGCCACGGCCAGGUGCGCACGCCCGCGUCCACGGGAGAAAUCCCGGGGCGCCCCGUCCCCAGAGCGCCGGGCCGCAUGCGGGGAAGGGUGUCUGGGUCCCCUCGGGGCACAGAGCCGGCAUCGCCGGGCGGGCAGAGCUGGGGAGCUCAGCUCCCCGCCCGUGGCCCUCCGCCAGCAGCCCCUCUCCCCGAGACCCGAGCUCUUAAUGAGGGAUGACGGUGGUUUCUCUAACUUUGAGACCCAACAGAGCAGAACUUUGCCAAGGCAGGAUCCUCCGGACGGUGCACUUAGACGGCGGCAAGAGAGCCUGCACACCCCCCGGGGACAGAGUUUGCCUCCUGAACUACACUUCUCUUAAUGAAGAACAGUAGCUCCGACCUCCAAACCAACUGGGACUGGCGCUUUAAAGUAGCUGCGAACAGUGCUCCCGUGUCUCAACAUGGUCACGUAGGAAUUUGAACCUUUUAAUUUCCAGACACAAGGAAUAACUCCCUCGGAGCACCGGCUUGGUUUAGGUGGUCGAUUGUUGGGUGUUUCGGUCGGAGUUUUUGAAUUUUUUUUGUUUCUAAUAAGGUAGCGAGGGAAGAUGGGGUACUAUUCCCUUGUAGACACAGAACAUAAAGGGGAAGAAAAAGCCUAGCCGGGGCAUAUUUGGCUGUAGGGAACCUGCCCGAGCCGCUCUGUAUCCCCGGCGGGAUAGCGGUCGGGGCUGCGGGCGCUGCCGCCGGCCCGGCCCAGCCCUCACCCCGGCCCUGCGCGGCAGCCAACGGGCACGUCGCCUGGUGUGACCUUCAGGGAGCACAUUUCAACUGCUAAACACCGAGAAAAGUGCUUCUCUCUCUCGCAGGCGCCAUAUUACCGCCGGGAGCCGGGGCUGGGGCGGGGGGAGGGCGGGUGCGCAGUUAGUCUAGUUUUCCGCAGUUGUUAAUUCAGACUGGACGAGCACUCGAUGGCUCCAUAAAAAGAAAAAAGAAAAAAGAAAAAAAAAAAAAAAAGAGGAGUACUUUGGGAUUAUUCUUUUCUUCUUAGCCCCCCCCCGCUAUCCCCCCUUUUCGAGGGGAUGCACUUUGUAACACUGAUGCCUGCUCUGGGACCCUGCGGAGCAUCCUUCCCCUCCCCGCCCGCUGGGAAAGGGGGUGCUUGGGGGGCGAUCCCCGAGAGCACGGUGUGUCACGGGGCCCCUGCUCAAGGCCACGACACUCGCCUUGCCCGAGGGCCCGGGCACCCCCGGGCAGCGCCCGAGAGCGCCCAGCUUCCCCCAUCCUGCUGCUUGCCGGGGAGGGACUGGGAAAACUCCCUAAACCUUGCUCCCUCCGCGGACACCCUGUUUGUGCUGGAAAGGCUAUGAGGCUCAAAAAUGAGAAAAUAUCCCCAGCACCACUUUCUCCCGGUGGAAAAUGAUUUCCUAAGCUGUGGGUCUGCACUUCACUGAGCUCUCUGCUCCCUCACUUCUCACAGAGACCUGCUCCUUAGUCAAGGGCGCUCUUUUGUCUUUCCCUCUGCGCUUGUUUUUUUUUUUUUAAUUGUGAAAAAAACUAACCAACCCCACCCAAAACUCGACGACAACAACUUCGGUAGCUAUGCAGAAGUGGAGGAAGCAGCACCGCAAUCGCGGCAGGGACACAGAGAAGCCGGACAGAGCCGCUCCUCCCCUGGGCCGCAGGGCCGGUGCCGUCCUAAAGAUUCAAGUCCUCUCAGGAUUUCGGAACAAAGGCAGCCCAGCCCAGCUCCGCCACGCACGAAUCUCCAUUGUAAUCCUGGGCUUAUCCUUUCCCCCCCCACUCCCCUUUCUUUAUGUGCCCUGUUUUCCAGCCUGCAGUUCCUGAAGGUCAGAUGGAGAGGUCAUAGCUCUGCAUCCCCUAUAAAUAGAUUUUGAUAUUUAGACAGCUAUUGCUACUCGAUAUUAACUUACAGGAUAAUGGCGAGAGAUACCGUAUGCGCUGAACCUGUUAUUCACGAGUGAGCAGCAUCUGUCGAAUACAAUUCUCGUCUUUUUGCCCUGUUUGGCUGUAGCACACAUCAAUAGGGCGAAGGACGUCUUGAGGCUGGGGUAGGGACGGGGAGCAGGACGGCUCUGCGGGGGCAAAGUUGCAAGAACAGUGUUGAAACUAUACGAGGACUUAGAGAGCUGAAGUCAAGAGCCAGGUCGGCACAGACCGGCUCUGAGCGAGCGCAGGACCAAUUCAAGAACUGCUGCGUAAAGAUUCCAGCGGGCUUUUGACACUUCACAUUAAAAUAUUAUGAAUGCUGCUGAGGUGGAAGGGUCUUUCCUCCACACACUCACAGCCCUAUUUCCCCGAUUUCUGACUUUUAAAAUCAUAGGUUCGAGGUGGAUCUGAACCAGAGGCUCAGAGCUCACCACUAACCCUUUCGCUGCUUACAGAGCAUUCAAGAGAAGGCAAGGUCUCCAAAUGUGGGCAAUACUUUGAAAGGAGCACUAAGAGUUCUCAUUUCCUUUUCACAGAGCAUCCUCUCUUCUGGCUGCUCCCAAAUCCUUCUCUGCCUUUCGCCACCUGCGAGGCAGAAAGGCCUUUACACUCCCGGCCGUCCUGGGUGCCGGCACUUUACUUGGCAGUGAGAUUAAAAUGAAAUUCACGGCCGGGACUCAGGCUGAGGCUUUAGAGGAAACCCACGCAAAGCCGGGAUGCGCCGGUCGGGGACAGCCAGCGCUUUGGGAACUGGUGGGACUGGCGGGCAGCGGCGCUGGUCGUGUCCCCGCGGGACGGGGAGAGGAGUCUGGCCAGGCUAAAAAUACAAUUUCUCCCUCGUUGUGCUGGAUCACGCGCGGGUACUGCUCCCUCUGCAAAAACUGUUCCCCUUAUCGCUGUCGAGACCGCAGUUUUAGAAACUAGCUGUGAUCAAGAUGUUGUGUAGCAGGACGGGGAAGUACGCAAGCGUUUCCAUCUACUUACCUGGGCAUGGGAGGGAAGAGGGGGAGGGUCAUGAAAGGCGCCGAUUGUGUGUGGAUUUUGAGGUUAAAAAGAGGUAACCUGGGGAAGGGGAGGGAGGAAAGGCUCUGAGUGGCUUAAUUUAAUCAAUAAAAUGUCUGAAAUAGUUGUCGAGAUUUGAUUCUCCCGUUUGCUAGUUUAACUUGCCCUUCAGUGCUCAUGUGUAACAUCUGUUACUGUGCGCGUACAACUGCAUUUUGGGGGUGGUGUGCGCUUUAUUUUGAGAAAAGGGAUAAUAGCCAAAGAAGAGACAAAAGAGGCAGUUUUAAGAUGCUGCGACUUUCUAGAGCCUGGCGGGUUUACAACCAGCUCAGCAGCAGUGAACCAAACUUGCUGUCAGAAGUUUACCGACGCUCAGGAAGGCUGCCGGGCCGGGGACCCGCGGGCUUUGUUCCGCGGGGAACGAAGCCACGGGAGCUGCCAUGGCGCUGUCCCCGGCCGGCAGCACGCUGGCCGCGGAGCUGGCGGAGCUCUCCCGGCGGGGCAGGUGUGUUCCCCUCCGGGCCGGCCCGGGGAGCCGCGACCGCCCUCCGCCCGCCGAGAGAGGCGGCAGCGCUUGUGCCCGGAGCCCGACGGAAGAGGCAGACGCGACUUUUCUGUGUGUUUUCAUGGCUUGCCUGCGAGGAAAGGUGCCGUCUCUUUCCCCUCUCGGCCUCCUCCGCCCAUCUUUUCUCCCCGGGAGCUCCGGAGGGAGCCGGGAGGGGCCCGGCGCUGCACGGCCCCGGACACACAGGGACGGUGCGAGGGGCCGGCGCAGCCCCCCCGGAGCGGCAGCCCGAGGGCUGCAGGGCAAAGAUCUUGUGCUCCCUCUAUCUCGGGGCUCUCUUUGACCUGAUGAGCUGCUUAGGACGAGCUCUUACAAUAGUUUUCCCGUAAGAAAAA